rnacentral:rRNA from 1 species
UACGGAGGGUGCAAGCGUUAUCCGGAUUUACUGGGUUUAAAGGGUGCGUAGGCGGGCCUUUUAAGUCAGUGGUGAAAGCUCCGAGCUUAACUCGGAAACUGCCAUUGAUACUAUUGGUCUUGAAUUCGGUCGAGGUUGGCGGAAUGUGUCGUGUAGCGGUGAAAUGCUUAGAUAUGACACAGAACACCGAUUGCGAAGGCAGCUAGCUAGACCGACAUUGACGCUGGAGGCACGAAAGCGUGGGGAUCAAACAGG